AGCAGCCGCGGUAAUUCCAGCUCCAAUAGCGUAUAUUAAAGUUGUUGCAGUUAAAAAGCUCGUAGUUGAAUUUCGGGGUUAGUAGGUUGGUCAUGCCUCUGGUAUGUACUGGUCUCACUGAUUCCUCCUUCCUGAUGAACCGUAAUGCCAUUAAUUUGGUGUUGCGGGGAAUUUGGACUGUUACUUUGAAAAAAUUAGAGUGUUUAAAGCAAGCUAACGCUUGAAUACAUUAGCAUGGAAUAAUGAAAUAGGACGUUCGAUCCUAUUUUGUUGGUUUCUAGGAUUGACGUAAUGAUUAAUAGGGAUAGUUGGGGGCAUUAGUAUUCAAUUGUCAGAGGUGAAAUUCUUGGAUUUAUUGAAGACUAACUACUGCGAAAGCAUUUGCCAAGGAUGUUUUCAUUAAUCAAGAACGAAAGUUAGGGGAUCGAAGACGAUCAGAUACCGUCGUAGUCUUAACCAUAAACUAUGCCGACUAGGGAUCGGAUGAUGUUAAUUUUUUAAUGUACUCAUUCGGCGCCUU
rnacentral:sRNA from 1 species